rnacentral:rRNA from 1 species
CAUGUAGGCUGUCCAGUCAGUUGGGUGUGAAAUCCCUCGGCUCAACCGGGGAACUGCAUCCAAUACUGCUGGACUAGAGAAUGGUUGGGGUGAGCGGAACUCCAGGUGGAGCGGUGAAAUGCGUAGAUAUCUGGAGGAACACCGGUGGCGAAGGCGGCUCACUGGACCAUUACUGACGCUGAGAUGCGAAAGCUAGGGGAGCGAACG